GGCCGUAUAGCCAAGUGGUUACGGCGUUGCACUUGAAUUAUCAGGCAUGCAAUCCACUAUGUGGGCGUAGGUUCAAAUCCUGCUGCGGUCG
rnacentral:tRNA from 1 species